rnacentral:tRNA from 1 species
GGAGAGCAAUCCGGGAUGGGUUCCCGGCGCCGGUUGGAAUCCGGCCGGUGCUGCAAGGCAUCUGGUUCGAAUCCAGUGUUCUCCGCCA